rnacentral:misc_RNA from 1 species
GAUGAAGAACGUAGUGAAAUGCGAUAAGUAAUGUGAAUUGCAGAAUUCAGUGAAUCAUCGAAUCUUUGAACGCACAUUGCGCCCCUUGGUAUUCCGGGGGGCAUGCCUGUUCGAGCGUCAUUAUCACCCCUCAAGCUCAGCUUGGUGUUGGGGCCUGCCCGUCACAGGGCAGCCCUUAAAAGCAGUGGCGGUGCCAUCUGGCUCUACGCGUAGUAAUACUCCUCGCGACAGAGUCCCGGUGGUGUCCUGCCAGAACCCCCCAUCUUUUUAAUGAUUGACCUCGGAUCAGGUAGGGAUACCCGCUGAACUUAAGCAUAUCAAUAAGCGGAGGA